GGACAAUGGGCGCAAGCCUGAUCCCGCCAUGCCGCGUGUGUGAAGAAGGCUCUAGGGUUGUAAAGCACUUUCAGUAGGGAGGAAGGCCAGAGUGUUAAUAGCGCUUUGGAUUGACGUUACCUACAGAAGCAGCACCGGCUAACUCCGUGCCAGCAGCCGCGGUAAUACGGAGGGUGCAAGCGUUAAUCGGAAUUACUGGGCGUAAAGCGCGCGUAGGCGGUUUGUUAAGUGUGAUGUGAAAGCCCAGGGCUCAACCUUGGAACUGCAUCACAUACUGGCAAGCUAGAGUACGGUAGAGGGGGGUAGAAUUCCAUGUGUAGCGGUGAAAAUGCGUAAAGAUGUGGAAGGAAUACCAGUGGCGAAGGCGGCCCCCUGGAUCGAUACUGACGCU
rnacentral:rRNA from 1 species